AGAUAGCUGUAACUUCCGCUAUCAAGAUAGCUGUAACUUCCGCUAUCAAGAUAGCUGUAACUGCUAUCUUAAUAGCGGAAGUUACAGCUACCUUGAUAGCGGACGUUACAGCUAUUU
rnacentral:pre_miRNA from 1 species